AGUAUGAGCAACUGGGGAAGGGGGAAGGGAGCGAGGGCGGGCGAGGAGUAUGAAUUCCAGAGAAAAGGGAAGUAUCAGCAAGCAAGCUAGGAUGUGCAAAGGUCUUUAUCGCUGCUGCUGAGAUCUAGCUCUGCAUAGUAACUAACAGGAAUAGAUCUCAUCUAUCCCUAGAGGUUCCGAAGCUAUUACUCCCAGGCUUGCCCAGAUGCUUUAUCACUCUCUGAGUGAAAAAACUGGAAGACAAGAAGGCACAAAGCACGUGGACGGGCCAUGUUUGGCUCUUUUUUAGCCACAAAACAGCAGGUGGUAGCAGCCUCCUUUAAAUCGUGCAGCUCUCCUGCUUGCUGCUGUGGGAUCCCUGUCUGAGCCCCAUGUCCUUGGUUGCUCCGGGCCUCACCUCAUCCCCUGAUCUCUUCUGUGGAGGAAGAGCUGCUGUUUAGGUCCAGGGUGUGCGCUGAGUUUAUCGGCAAUGUGAUCUGCAGCAAGAGA
rnacentral:lncRNA from 1 species